GAAACCUGGAAAGGUAGGGAGGUAUGGAUAUGGACAAGCUAUGCCAAGGAGCAGGGCUUUGUCAUGGAGAGUGACUAGGUGCUUUUACAUAGGAAAGUCACCUGAUAAUAUUAAAACCUGUGAAAUAUCACUCUGGUGGAAGUGUGAAUGAAUUUGAAAGGGGUGUAACACUGUUCUACUUUGUUUACUCCUCAGUACCCUUGGCUGUGUACAUUUGAGUAAAGAGAGCACUAUAAAAUCAAAAACCAAUGAAAUGGUUUCCAGAACACAGAACUAUUAAGCUUAAGAAAAGGACAGAAGGAACUGAAGAGAGAGGAACUGUUUUGGAGCAUCACACUUCCACCUCAGAAGAAAUAAGGAAGGAAGGAGGAGGGUGUUCCCACGGCUCUUCAACCAGGCCGGCUCUUCAGCCUACAUCCCCAUCUCAUCAAGUAAAAGGGAUUUUUCAACUGGACCAACCAGAUGGUUUAACAGUGCACUCCCACACCAUUCAACUACGCAAGGGAGAUACACUUAACAUAUGCAGUCGUAUAACACCUACUAACAUUUUCAAACAUUAAACCUUUAAAAAAGAGUUCUAAAGAAAUAGAAGCUUGAAGUAUCAUCUCUCAAGUAUAUAGACACUACUUCAUGGUGUGGUAAUAUAUGCAUAUAGAAGCUAGUAAACACCUCCAGGAGAUGCAAAAGGAAUUAGAACUGCCACAAGGUGCAAGCAAAACCUUGAGGUGAGAAAAUCGAAUUUGGACACCGUUGAGGAGACUAUUGCAGUCAUCCAAGCUCAAGAUGGUGGAGCUUCAUCCUUGAGAAUAACCAAUGGGGAUAGAUUUAAGAGACACUUAGAGUCUGCAGCCAACAGGGCUGAAUGAGCAGUAAGUAGGAG
rnacentral:lncRNA from 1 species